GGAGAGGUGUCAGAGUGGCCGAUCGUGCAGCUUUGCUAAAGCUGUUCCCGAUACUAUCGGGACGCGGGUUCGAAUCCCGCCCUCUCCG
rnacentral:tRNA from 1 species